rnacentral:rRNA from 1 species
UAGAUACCCUGGUAGUCCUGGCAGUAAACGGUGCGCGUUUGGUGUGGGGUGGUUCGACCCUCCCUGCGCCGAAGCUAACGCGUUAAACGCGCCGCCUGGGAAGUACGAUCGCAAGAUUAGAACUCAAAGAAAUUGACGGGGGCCCGCACAAGCGGUGGAGUAUGUGGCUUAAUUCGAUGCAACGCGAAGAACCUUACCUAGGCUUGACAUGCAUCUCUAAGUCGGUGAAAGCCGGCGAGCGUAGCAAUAC